rnacentral:rRNA from 1 species
AUUGAACGCUGGCGGCAUGCUUUACACAUGCAAGUCGAACGGCAGCACAGCAGAGGUAACUCUGUGGGUGGCGAGUGGCGAACGGGUGAGUAAUACAUCGGAACGUACCCUGUUGUGGGGGAUAACUACGCGAAAGCGUAGCUAAUACCGCAUACGCCCUGAGGGGGAAAGCGGGGGGACCCUAAAUAGAGCGCACUGGGGAGUGCGUUGUAUUUAGGGCCUCGCGCAAUAGGAGCGGCCGAUGUCGGAUUAGCUAGUUGGUGAGGUAAAGGCUUACCAAGGCGACGAUCCGUAGCUGGUCUGAGAGGAUGAUCAGCCACACUGGGACUGAGACACGGCCCAGACUCCUACGGGAGGCAGCAGUGGGAAUUUGGACUAAUGGGGGCGAACCCUGAUCCAGCCAUGCCGCGUGAGUGAAGAAGGCC